rnacentral:rRNA from 1 species
UGCAGUGAGGAAUAUUGGUCAAUAGCCUAACGGCUGAACCAGCAACUUGGAGGAACGAAUAGCAAUAGCUAGUUGCACCCACGAACAGUAGGAGCAAAAUCGACUAUGUCGAAUAAAGUUCUAAGUAAAUAUAUGAUAAUGACAUUUUUUGCUUAUGUGUCUUGACCAAAUUACGUGCCAGCAGUCGCGGUAAUACGUAGAAGACUAGUGUUAUUCAUCUUUAAUAGGUUUAAAGGGUACCUAGACGGUAGAUAAAGCUUUUAACUAUUGAACUAAUCUACUAGAGUUACUUGUGAGGGGGUAUUAAAGUACUAAUGGUGUAGAGAUGAAAUUCUGUAAUACCUUUUUUCAAAAGAAAAGCUAUGGCACAGGUAUAGGCGAAGGCAUCCCCUUAAGUGAUAACUGACGUUGAGGACGAAGG